UGGGCGUAAGCGUCCGCAGGCGGUCUGUCAAGUCUGCGGUCAAAGCCCCGGGCUCCUCCAAAGAAAGGCAGUGGAAACUGACAGACUGGAAAACGGCAGGGGUAGAGGGAAUGCCCAGUGUAGCCGCCAAAUAAGGAGAGAUCCGGAAGAACACCAGUGGCGAAAGCGACUCUACUGCACCAUAACUACGCUGACACUGAAGGACGAAAGCAAGGCCAGCGAAUGGGAUUAGAUACCCCAGGUAGUCCUAGCCGUAAACGAUGGAUACUAGGCGUUACGCGUAUCGACCCGCGUAGUGCCGGAGCCAACGCGUUAAGUAUCCCGCCUGGGGAGUACGCACGCAAGUGUGAAACUCAAAGGAAUUGACGGGGGCCCGCACAAGCGGUGGAGUAUGUGGUUUAAUUCGAUGCAACGCGAAGAACCUUACCAGGGCUUGACAUGUCGCGAAUCCCGAUGAAAGUUGGGAGUGCCUUAGGGAGCGCGAACACAGGUGGUGCAUGGCUGUCGUCAGCUCGUGUCGUGAGAUGUUGGGUUAAGUCCCGCAACGAGCGCAACCCUCGUACUUAGUUGCCAUCAUUAAGUUGGGAACUCUAAGAAGACUGCCGGUGACAAACCGGAGGAAGGUGGGGAUGACGUCAAGUCAGCAUGCCCCUUACGUCCUGGGCUACACACGUACUACAAUGCUGUGGACAGAGGGCAGCAAGCUAGCGAUAGCAAGCAAAUCUCACAAACCACGGCUCAGUUCAGAUCGCAGGCUGCAACUCGCCUGCGUGAAGGUGGAAUCGCUAGUAAUUGCAGGUCAGCAUACUGCAGUGAAUUCGUUCCCGGGCCUUGUACACACCGCCCGUCACACCAUGGAAGCUGGUAGUGCCCGAAGUCGUUACUCUAACUGUUCGCAGAGGAGGAUGCCGAAGGCAGGACUGGUGACUGGGGUGAAUCU
rnacentral:rRNA from 1 species